UACGGAGGGUGCUAGCGUUGCUCGGAAUUAUUGGGCGUAAAGGGCAGGUAGGUGGUCUCAUUUGUCCGGGGUGAAAUCCUUGAGCUUAACUCAAGAAGUGCCCCGGAAACGGUGAGACUCGAGUUCUGGAGAGGGUCGUGGAAUUCCCGGUGUAGCGGUGAAAUGCGUAGAGAUCGGGAGGAACACCAGAGGCGAAGGCGGCGACCUGGACAGACACUGACACUCAACUGCGAAAGCGUGGGGAGCAAACAGGAUUAGAAACCCCAGUAGUCC
rnacentral:rRNA from 1 species